UGGUAACAAAGGAGUGAAAAUCAAUAGAAUUGCUGAAGAUCAUAUGAUCAACAGAGCAACAAAUGAAAAAUGAAAAAACCAUUUUCAGAUAAGCUGAUCUGACAGUGUAGAAAGGACAUCACUAGAGAAAACUGGCAGAUUGGAAACAUAGAAGGCAUGAAUUGUCCCAGUCAGGAAGAGUUCCUCUUCUUCCUUUGAACAUAACUCAAGGACCAUCUUCUACAGAAGUUAUUUCCAAUCUCCCUUAAUGAUUGCCUCAUCACUACCAUUUAUCAACAAAGUCACUGAAGAUUCGGAAGACUUCUUCAUCCAAAAUGCAUAUGGUAAUGAAAUCUGAUAUACUGAAUGACAAAACUAGGAUUAUAAAAAGUCUGCACAACCUAGUAUUUUUAAGGGUCAAGAAAAAUCACUUUAAAGUACUGAGGGAUAACUACCUAGAGAAAAAUUCCUAUCAAAAAGACCAACUAGGUUUUAUGUAAUACACAGCAUACUCAUUUCAACUGAAGGUA